rfam:Ophiophagus hannah scaffold9066.1, whole genome shotgun sequence.
GAAAAGGCCCUUUUCAGGGCCGCUCCAGUUUUCCAGAAAAGAGCUG